GAUGAACGCUAGCGGCAGGCCUAACACAUGCAAGUCGAACGGUAACAUGAGUAGCAAUACUUGAUGACGAGUGGCGCACGGGUGCGUAACGCGUAUGCAACUUACCUCUAACUGGAAGAUAGCCUUCCGAAAGGAAGAAUAAUACUCCAUAAUAUUUCGAUGUGGCAUCACAUUGUUCUUAAAGCUUCGGCGGUUAGAGAUAGGCAUGCGUCUGAUUAGUUUGUUGGUGAGGUAACGGCUCACCAAGACUACGAUCAGUAGGGGGCCUGAGAGGGUUAUCCCCCACACUGGUACUGAGACACGGACCAGACUCCUACGGGAGGCAGCAGUGAGGAAUAUUGGUCAAUGGACGAAAGUCUGAACCAGCCAUGCCGCGUGCAGGAUGAAUGCCCUAUGGGUUGUAAACUGCUUUUAUAUAGGAAUAAACCCCCCGACGUGUCGGGGCUGAAGGUACUAUAAGAAUAAGGACCGGCUAACCCGUGCCAGCAGCC
rnacentral:rRNA from 1 species